rnacentral:misc_RNA from 1 species
GAUGAAGAACGUAGUGAAAUGCGAUAAGUAAUGUGAAUUGCAGAAUUCAGUGAAUCAUCGAAUCUUUGAACGCACAUUGCGCCCGCCAGUAUUCUGGCGGGCAUGCCUGUUCGAGCGUCAUUUCAACCAUCAAGCCCCCGGGCUUGUGUUGGGGACCUGCGGCUGCCGCAGGCCCUGAAAACCAGUGGCGGGCUCGCUAGUCACUCCGAGCGUAGUAGUUACAUCUCGCUCAGGGCGUGCUGGGGGUUCCGGCCGUUAAAAGCCUUUUACCCCAAGGUUGACCUCGGAUCAGGUAGGAAGACCCGCUGAACUUAAGCAUAUCAAUAAGCGGAGGA